UACGGAGGGGCAAGCGUUGUUCGGAAUUACUGGGCGUAAAGGGCGCGGUAGGCGGCGUGACAAGUCACUUGUGAAAUCUCCGGGCUUAACUCGGAACGGUCAAGUGAUACUGCUGUGGCUUGAGUCCAGUAGGGGAGCAUGGAAUUCCCGGUGUAGCGGUGGAAUGCGUAGAGAUCCGGAAGAACACCGGUGGCGAAGGCGGUGUGCUGGGCCGUAGCUGACGCUGAGGCGCGACAGCGUGGGGAGCAAACGAGG
rnacentral:rRNA from 1 species